rnacentral:rRNA from 1 species
UACGUAGGGGGCAAGCGUUGUCCGGAAUUAUUGGGCGUAAAGCGCGCGCAGGCGGUUUUGUAAGUCUGGUGUUUAAACCUAGGGCUCAACCCUGGGUCGCAUUGGAAACUGCAAGGCUUGAGUGCAGAAGAGGAGAGUGGAAUUCCACGUGUAGCGGUGAAAUGCGUAGAUAUCAGGAGGAACACCUGUGGCGAAAGCGGCUCACUGGACCAUAACUGACGCUGAUGCACGAAAGCUAGGGGAGCAAACAGG